GAUUGGGCGGCCGAUAUCAGAUUAGCUAGUUGGUGAGGUAAAGGCUCACCAAGGCGACGAUCUGUAGCGGGUCUGAGAGGAUGAUCCGCCACACUGGAACUGAGACACGGUCCAGACUCCUACGGGAGGCAGCAGUGGGGAAUUUUGGACAAUGGGGGCAACCCUGAUCCAGCCAUGCCGCGUGAGUGAAGAAGGCCUUCGGGUUGUAAAGCUCUUUCGGCCGGGAAGAAAUCGUAUGGGUUAAUACCCUGUGCGGAUGACGGUACCGGCAUAAGAAGCACCGGCUACUACGUGCCAGCAGCCGCGGUAAUACGUAGGGUGCGAGCGUUAAUCGGAAUUACUGGGCGUAAAGCGUGCGCAGGCGGUUUUGUAAGACAGGCGUGAAAUCCCCGGGCUCAACCUGGGAACUGCGCUUGUGACUGCAAGGCUAGAGUACGGCAGAGGGGGGUGGAAUUCCACGUGUAGCAGUGAAAUGUGUAGAGAUGUGGAGGAACACCAAUGGCGAAGGCAGCCCCCUGGGUCGAUACUGACGCUCAUGCACGAAAGCGUGGGUAGCAAACAGGAUUAGAUACCCUGGUAGUCCACGCCCUAAACGAUGUCAACUAGGUGUUGGGUGGGUAAAACCAUUUAGUACCGGAGCUAACGCGUGAAGUUGACCGCCUGGGGAGUACGGCCGCAAGGUUAAAACUCAAAGGAAUUGACGGGGACCCGCACAAGCGGUGGAUGAUGUGGAUUAAUUCGAUGCAACGCGAAAAACCUUACCUACCCUUGACAUGUCCAGGAGCCUGAAGAGAUUUGGGUGUGCCCGAAAGGGAACUGGAACACAGGUGCUGCAUGGCUGUCGUCAGCUCGUGUCGUGAGAUGUUGGGUUAAGUCCCGCAACGAGCGCAACCCUUGUCGUUAAUUGCCAUCAUUUAGUUGGGCACUUUAACGAGACUGCCGGUGACAAACCGGAGGAAGGUGGGGAUGACGUCAAGUCCUCAUGGCCCUUAUGGGUAGGGCUUCACACGUCAUACAAUGGUCGGUACAAAGGGUCGCCAACCCGCGAGGGGGAGCCGAUCCCAGAAAGCCGAUCGUAGUCCGGAUCGUAGGCUGCAACUCGCCUGCGUGAAGUCGGAAUCGCUAGUAAUCGUGGAUCAGCAUGUCACGGUGAAUACGUUCCCGGGCCUUGUACACACCGCCCGUCACACCAUGGGAGCGGGUUCCGCCAGAAGUAGGUAGCCUAACCGCAAGGGGGGCGCUUACCACGGCGGGGUUCGUGACUGGGGUGAAGUCGUAACAAGGUA
rnacentral:rRNA from 1 species